ensembl:lncRNA
ACAGUAAACUUUCAUUGAUUGGUUAUGAGCUUGGCCAUUGUUCAAUGUGAUGGGUUCCAGAUGUUUAAAUACAGUGACAGCUCACUGAUAAAAUGAAUUAUAGUGACCAAAGUAACAAACCCAAAAGGCAUUCUGCUCAAAACCAAAAGGGAUAAUAAAUGUGAUACUUAGUCACAUAUUUAAGAUAUCGUCCUUCCAGAUCAUUUUAAAAAUAUUUUCAUUACAUUAUUCCAGAUCUCUUAACUAAUAUGCAGACUUUAGACAAUAAAUUCCCAACGAUAUUAUUUCCCAUAUAAAAAAUUGUCUGUCUGAUAUUUUCAGGGAAUAAACCUUAUUUGGUAUGAAAUUAAAGUGUAUGUUGUAUUUUUUUUUCAUUUACAGGCAAUUACCAAAAGGAACAUAGUAUUUGAUGCUGAAUAGAAAUUAUCUAAUCAUGACAAAAAACAAUGGGGAAAAAAUGUUUUACUAUAAAGAUGCUGUUGGAACUAAUCCUGAUGAUGAGUGAUUGUACUUCACAUUCUCUGCAGAUCAACAGGGAUUCUCUGGCAUUAAAAAGAGUGAACUAAUGUCAACUGCAGCAGCCUGGAUGGACCUAGAGAUUACCAUACUGAGUGAGUUCAUGAAUGUACCUCUGACUUGUGAAAGAAAGCAAAAUAUUACCAGAAAUCUAUAAAGAAGAAAGAAGUCAGUUGCUGGCCUACUGAAGAUGGGAUGAAGCUGGAUCAUUUGGAAGUUCAUUUAGGAGAGAGAUGGUCAGCAUUUGAAAAACUGCUUUGAACUCCAAAAUGGAAGCCAUGUACUGAUGAUAGCAAGGCUACCUCAACAACUUAUCUCUUCAGACCGCUUAUUUGGAAACCACAUGAAAGAGAAAAGAGCUUCUAUGUUAUUUAACCUGUGUUAAAUUACACACAGCUCCCAGGUGGCACAGAGAUAAAGAAUUCUCCUGCCAGUGCAAGAGAUGCAAGAAACACGGUUCAAUCCCUGAGUCAGGAAGAUUCCCUGGAGGAGGAACCCACUAGCAACCCAUUCCAGUAUUCUUGCCUGAAAAAUUCCAUGGACAGAGGCGUCUGGUGAGCUGCAGUCCAUGGAGUCGUACAUGACUGAGCGACUAAGCACACACAAAUUACAUACACUUUGUUGGAGCAAACUAACCUGUUUCCUACUUACUAUAAAGGCUAUCAUCUAUAGAUAACUCCUCACUUUCUGAAGUGCAGAAAUGGAGGCAUGAUGAGGCUAUAUACUAAGAGGGGAAACACAGAGAGGAGAAGGUUUGGAAAAAGAAAAGAUCAUGUUAUAAUCAUACUAGUUACAAG